rnacentral:rRNA from 1 species
GCAACGCGAAAAACCUUACCACUCCUUGACAUGGAAAUUAUACCUAUUCGAAGGGAUAGGGUCGGUUCGGCCGGGUUUCACACAGGUGUUGCAUGGCUGUCGUCAGCUCGUGUCGUGAGAUGUUGGGUUAAGUCCCGCAACGAGCGCAACCCUCAUCCUUAGUUACCAUCAGGUAAUGCUGGGGACUUUAAGGAGACUGCCAGUGAUAAACUGGAGGAAGGUGGGGAUGAUGUCAAGUCAUCAUGGCCCUUAUGGAGUGGGCUACACACGUGCUACAAUGGUGGCUACAAUGGGCUGCAAAGUCGCGAGGCUAAGCCAAUCCCUUAAAAGCCAUCUCAGUUCGGAUUGUACUCUGCAACUCGAGUGCAUGAAGUUGGAAUCGCUAGUAAUCGUGGAUCAGCACGCCACGGUGAAUACGUUCUCGGGUCUUGUACACACUGCCCGUCACGCCAUGGGAAUUGGUUUCACUCGAAGCUAACGACCUAACCGCAAGGAGGGAGUUAUUUAAAGUGGGAUCGGUGACUGGGGUG